rnacentral:tRNA from 1 species
AGUAAAGAAGUAAAAAAUACAUUUAGUUUCGACCUAUAUAAUAAGAAUAAUUUUCCAUACUU